ACUCAAAGGAAUAGACGGGGGCCCGCACAAGCGGCGGAGCAUGUUGCUUAAUUCGAGGCGACGCGAAGAACCUUACCUAGGCUUGACAUGCAGGGAAAAGCCGUGGAGACACGGUGUCCGUAAGGGCCCUGCACAGGUGGUGCAUGGCUGUCGUCAGCUCGUGUCGUGAGAUGUUGGGUUAAGUCCCGCAACGAGCGCAACCCUUGUCCUAUGUUGCCAGCGCGUAAUGGCGGGGACUCGUAGGAGACUGCCGGGGUCAACUCGGAGGAAGGUGGGGACGACGUCAAGUCAUCAUGCCCCUGAUGUCUAGGGCUGCAAACAUGCUACAAUGGCUGGUACAAAGGGUCGCGAUCCCGCGAGGGUGAGCUAAUCCCAGAAAGCCAGUCUCAGUUCGGAUUGGAGUCUGCAACUCGACUCCAUGAAGUCGGAGUCGCUAGUAAUCCCGGAUCAGCUACGCCGGGGUGAAUACGUUCCCGGGCCUUGUACACACCGCCCGU
rnacentral:rRNA from 1 species